rnacentral:rRNA from 1 species
UGGGGAAUAUUGCACAAUGGGGGAAACCCUGAUGCAGCGACGCCGCGUGAACGAAGAAGGUAUUCGUAUCGUAAAGUUCUGUCCUAUGGGAAGAUAAUGACAGUACCAUAGAAGAAAGCUCCGGCGAAAUACGUGCCAGCAGCCGCGGUAAUACGUAUGGAGCGAGCGUUGUCCGGAAUUAUUGGGCGUAAAGGGUACGCAGGCGGUUUAAUAAGUCGAAUGUUAAAGAUCGGGGCUCAACCCCGUAAAGCAUUGGAAACUGAUAAACUUGAGUAGUGGAGAGGAAAGUGGAAUUCCUAGUGUAGUGGUGAAAUACGUAGAUAUUAGGAGGAAUACCGGUAGCGAAGGCGACUUUCUGGACACAAACUGACGCUGAGGUACGAAAGCGUGGGGAGCAAACAGG